CCGUACAUUUUUAGCAUCAUUACUUCAGUCACACGAUCCUUCAGAAAUCAUGUUGAUAUUCUGAUUUACUGCUCAUAAAAACAUUUAUUAUUAUGAUGAUGUUGAAAACAUCUGAGUAGGAUUUUUUCACGUUUCUUUGAUGAAUAGAAAAUUAAGAAAAACUGCAUAUCUGAAAUAGAGAUUGAAUGAUAUGAAUAUUAAUUUCUAUCAUUUCUUUUCCGAAAAAUCAAAAUAUGACUCUAAGCUUUUGAAUGGUAUAGUGUAUUGUUACAAAAGCCUUUUAUUUCACAUACAGUAAAUGCUGAUCUUUGUAUCUUUCUAUUCAUCAAAGAAUCAUGAAAAAAAUGUAGUCAACUGUUUUAAAUAUUAAUAAUAAUUUAAUUCCUUGAGCAGAAUAUCAUCAUAUUAGAAUGAUUUCUGAAGAUCAUGGGUUUUAAAUUGUAAAAAUAUUUCACAACAUUACUACUUUUGCUGUACUUUGGAUCAAAUAAAUGCAGUCUUGGUGAGCAGAAGAGACUUCUUUAAAAAAUAUUAAAAAUCUUACUGUUCAAAAACUGUUGACUGGUAUAUAGAUUACAGAAAUGUUAUACUGUAAUGUUAUAUAUAUACAUUUCUGUCCCCCUCACUUCUGUAAUGAUGUCUACGCCCCUGGUUCAUGUAGAACGGAGGAAAACAGCCCUAAACAAGCACAGCACUUCUUCUCUUUACAGGUUUUAGAUACAGAGACAGUGUAACAGCAUGGCUGCUGCGACUGAAAAAGACACAGUAUGGAUCGGGUUCAUGGACAUCGUUCCGGUCAUCGGGACGGUAAAAGAGGCAGUGGAGCUGGUGCUGGCUCUGUAUGAAGGGAAUAAAGAGGUGAUAAAGGAGAAAGAGAAGGCCAUUGAAAGCAUUGUGAAAGAGUCAUCAAAAAUACAUGAGAAGGAAAACUAUGUGAAAAAGUUGACUCUAGCUGAUAAACCAGUAGCAGCAGCAGCUGCAGAUGAAUUUUCUGGACUCAGAAAUGUGAGAGAGGUCAGAAAGGAAAUGAUUAUUGAAUAUAUGGCCAAAGGUUCCAAAAGGGGAACAAAACCUCCAACUCCAGCUGAGCAGAAAGAGAGACAGAAAAGAGUGGAGGCCAUUAGGAAAGACACGCUAGAAAAGAUCCGUAUCAUCGAACCAAACUUCAAAGAAAAACGAAUGGAAGAAAUAAAGGAAGAACUGCAAAGGUCGAAAAGAGGUGAACAUGUCUUUAACAAAGACAUUCUUAAAUUUAAUUCCAAGGUGCUGACUGACUUUAUAGAAAAAUAUUGUAUUUAUAAUCUACGAGGAUAUGAUCAGCUGGAAAUGAAUGAAUUAGGCAGACACACACUUCAUCCAGACACAGCAGAAAAUAUUCAGACAAAAAUGGUGGUUCACUUUGGUGAGGAUGAAUUCUACGUGAAUGCGAAUGCAGUGUUGUAUGGUGAAUAUUGCAGAGCACUGCAUGAAGCUAUGUUAGUUGUGCUGGGCCACAUAAACCCAGAUGACGUGAUACAAGAGGAGAAACAAAAGGUGACAGAAGAGGAGAGAAAAAAGAUAGAAGAGGAGAAACAAAGGGUGAAUAAUAUCAUAGAUAAUAUGAAUGAGCAUGAGAUCUAUGUGGACCAACUGGCAAAGGUCAAGUGGAUUAAAGAGAAUAGAGACAACCGGUUUAAAAAUGUAAAACAGGAAGUUGUGAACAUGUAUAACAAAGAUUGUGGGGUUGAGUGGUGCAUUCGCAUUCUGCGUAAAAUUGCACCUUUGUUUGGACUUACACUGGGUUCCAAAUUAUCAAGCAAGUGAUAUAUCAAUAGGAUUUCGGUACAAUAAAAAGUCACGUUUUUGUUUGUGUUGUUAUUGU
ensembl:lncRNA